CUCAUGUAAACUGCGUCGUUUCCAGUUGACGGAUCACAGCCAGACAUGAAAUGCUGCGUUAUGUAUAAGUAGGUACUUCCUUAAGUCACUCCGUUCUACGGAAUCACGAUUAAUCCAGGCGUGGGUGAAGUAGAUCAACACCAAGCUGGUGCAAACUUUUAACUAUCAAGGAGCUGGAGCAGGAAAGCGGCAGGAAAGUUUCGCGGAGUUCGUCUAUCCGGUGAUCAGAAAGGACACAAAGAGAAUCGGUCUAUAUAAGGGUCGACUCCAACGCGCUGCGUGGAAUCCCAAACAGUUG